UACGUAGGGUGCAAGCGUUGUCCGGAAUUAUUGGGCGUAAAGCGCGCGCAGGCGGUCCUUUAAGUCUGAUGUGAAAGCCCACGGCUCAACCGUGGAGGGUCAUUGGAAACUGGAGGACUUGAGUACAGAAGAGGAAAGCGGAAUUCCACGUGUAGCGGUGAAAUGCGUAGAGAUGUGGAGGAACACCAGUGGCGAAGGCGGCUUUCUGGUCUGUAACUGACGCUGAGGCGCGAAAGCGUGGGGAGCAAACAGG
rnacentral:rRNA from 1 species